AGAGAAAAGAGAUCUUGCCCAAGCUAGUUGAGAGAAACAACAAUGACACUUUCUUGGAAAUGUUUGGGAUCGAUAUUUGGGUUCAAGAUUUUAGAUUUGGGGAUGAUUUAGAUUAGGAUAAAUGAAAUCAAUUUAUAAAAGGAGAUGGUGAACAAUCUUGAUGCAAAAAAGAAGAAAAAAAAAUGGUAAAAUGGGAGGUGUAUAUGGCACAACAAUGGGAGAAAGAAAGAAAAUUGAAGAGAAAAGAGGAG
rnacentral:lncRNA from 1 species